rnacentral:rRNA from 1 species
GGUUCAGCAAGUCGGGUGUGAAAACUCUGGGCUCAACCCAGAGCCUGCACCCGAAACUGCUGUGACUAGAGUUCGGUAGGGGAGUGGGGAAUUCCUAGUGUAGCGGUGAAAUGCGCAGAUAUUAGGAGGAACACCGAUGGCGAAGGCACCACUCUGGGCCGAAACUGACGCUGAGGAGCGAAAGCGUGGGUAGCAAACAGGAUUAGAUACCCUGGUAGUCCACGCCGUAAACGAUGGGCACUAGGUGUGGGUCUCUAACCAACGAGAUCCGCGCCGUCGCUAACGCAUUAAGUGCCCCGCCUGGGGAGUACGGUCGCAAGACUAAAACUCAAAGGAAUUGACGGGGGCCCGCACAAGCAGCGGAGCGUGUUGCUUAAUUCGAUGCUACGCGAAGAACCUUACCUAGGUUAAAUCAUUGGGAAAAGCCACAGAGAUGUGGUGUCCUUCGGGGCUCAAUGAAGGUGGUGCAUGGCUGUCGUCAGCUCGUGUCGUGAGAUGUUGGGUUAAGUCCCGCAACGAGCGCAACCCUUAUUCUAUGUUGCCAGCACGUAAUGGUGGGGACUCGUAGGAGACUGCCGGGGUCAACUCGGAGGAAGGUGGGGAUGACGUCAAGUCAUCAUGCCCCUUAUGUCUAGGGCUGCAAACACGCUACAAUGGCCGGUACAAAGGGCUGCGAAACCGCGAGGUUUAGCGAAUCCCAUAAAGCCGGUCUCAGUUCGGAUUGGAGGCUGCAACUCGCCUCCAUGAAGCUGGAGUUGCUAGUAAUCCCGGAUCAGCACGCCGGGGUGAAUACGUUCCCGGGCCUUGUACACACCGCCCGUCACACCACGAAAGUCGGUAACACCCGAAGCCGGUGGCCUAACCGUAAGGAAGGAGCCGUCGAAGGUGGGAUCGGUGAUUGGGGUGAAGUCGUAACAAGGUAACC